AGUUCUACGUUUUCUUUUAGAAAUCAGGCAUUCGACAGCUUCCUUUGUGUCAAAGAUCGUCAACACAGAAGGAAGAGAAAGAGGAAGUAUUUAGGCAGCAAAGUCCCAGUUUGAUACAAGCCAUGGGCAGCAGUCAUGACUGCUACAUUUGGAGUCACCUUCGCAAGAGUCGUAAGACUGCAUACAAAAGGGAGAUAGGAUUGAAAUGC
rnacentral:lncRNA from 1 species